rnacentral:tRNA from 1 species
GCCUGGGUGGCUCAGUUGGUUGGGCGUCUGAUUUCGGCUCAGGUCAUGAUCUCACAGUCUGUGAGUUCGAGCCCCGCGUCGGGCU